rnacentral:rRNA from 1 species
AUGUCCGGGGUCGUCGUGAGGAACUUGACGUCCACGGGGUCUUCGAGGGUCGAUGGUACUUGGCGUGGAGGUAACCAUCGGGUUGCCGUUUGUUGGAAAACAAGCUGCACCAGGGAAGAUCAAAGCAGCGGCGGCAGCAACAGAGUUGGCCGAAAGGGACGGCUCAGGCAGGAGCUCCAUAGCACAGCGAUGGUGCCGACGGAGAUGCAACAGGGGAUGGGCGCGGAGGAGGCAAGAAGGCGCGGGAGAGGAGGCGGAGCUCCUGCAGGGUGCAGCCGCGGCGAGGGGGGGGAGGGAGGUCGAGGCCGGUGGCGCUGCAACAUGACGGCACGGCGGCCGAACGUCACGGCGGACGAAGCAGGGAGGCAGAGGAGCGGGACUCCGGCGACGAGGAGCAGUGGCGGAGCUUCGGGCUCGGCCGGCAGCAAGGUCAAAGGGCGCCGCGGGAGGCAAUGGUUGCGGGCGUCCUCCUCUGCUCGAAGAAGAGGCCGAACCGGGCGGCAGCCAUCCAUGGUGAUGUCGUGGGGCUCCUCGAGCAGGAAGAAGAAGCAGGGCGCGGCGGUGGACCUGGAGGUCGCCGUCGAGGCGGCUGGCCGCGCGAGAAGACGAGGCCGAGCGCUCCUGCUCGGGCCUCGGGAAGAGAGGGGGUGGCGGCUGUGCGGGUGGCGGGGCGGCGAUGCAACAGGGCGGCAGCUCGGGAGAAGACGAGAGGGAGAGGAUGAGGGGAUCGGGAGGAGUUGGGGAUCGGGCGCUGGGGCUCUCCUCUCCUGGCGGCGCUCGAACGGGAGACGAGGGAGAGAUCAGGGGAUGGGGAUCGCUCAGGCUAGGGUUAGGAGGGACUGGUGGGGGCGGCUGGGCCUUAGAGGCCGGCGGCUGGGCUCUCCUCUCUCUCUCUUUCUCUCAAAAGAAAAGAAACAAAAUAGAGAUAAGAAAUAA